CUACGGGGUGCAGCAGUGGGGAAUAUUGCACAAUGGGCGCAAGCCUGAUGCAGCAACGCCGCGUGGGGGAUGACGGCCUUCGGGUUGUAAACCUCUUUUAGCAGGGAAGAAGCGAAAGUGACGGUACCUGCAGAAAAAGCACCGGCUAACUACGUGCCAGCAGCCGCGGUAAUACGUAGGGUACAAGCGUUGUCCGGAAUUAUUGGGCGUAAAGAGCUCGUAGGCGGUUGGUCGCGUCUGCUGUGAAAACCCGAGGCUCAACCUCGGGCCUGCAGUGGGUACGGGCCAACUCGAGGGCGGUAGGGGAGAUCGGAAUUCCUGGUGUAGCGGUGGAAUGCGCAGAUAUCAGGAGGAACACCAAUGGCGAAGGCAGAUCUCUGGGCCGUAACUGACGCUGAGGAGCGAAAGCGUGGGGAGCGAACAGGAUUAGAUACCCCCGUAGUC
rnacentral:rRNA from 1 species